AGGGAGACACAGGCACCUAUAAUUUAAAGAGAUUCAAUUUCAGAUUCUUAGACCUUGAAAGUAAUCAGUCCUAAAAUUGACCUGCCUCAGAAAAUGCUUGUGACCCAGGCAGUCUGCUGGUUCUCCUUUGGAAUGACUUAUCUUUAAAGGGAAGGUACACCUCACACUUACCCCUAAUCAUCAAGGUGCCAAGCAGAGGGAUAAUGAAAAUAUUGGUGUGACUGCUGAGUAAGACAAUGACCGUAAUGGAAAAUGAUCCUUUUGCAAGUAAGUUUCCCAUUGUUUACUGUCCAUAAAAUUGAGAGAAGGCUUAUUGAGUGGUCAGCUAAUAAGUUCUUAAAUCUUACACCCAUGGAUGCAUAUUAUUACUCUUUGCUAGAAAAAUCUUUUCCCAUUUCCAUCUACAUAUUUAUGCAAACCCAUAUUUUCAAUGCCUACAUCUGUAAUAGCUAAAUAUAAUAGAUUUCAUGUGGAAUCUUGUCUCCUUCCAGUAAUAAUAAUCUACAGAGAAUGAACUAAUGAGAGGAAGAGUCCCAUCCAUAUCAUUAAGAUACACAUACAUUUCCAAUAAAAUAUUGCUUAUAUUGAAUAAUUAUAUUAUUUUUUGGGUCACUUUUGACCUUACAAUAGUAAUUGUAUUGCACUCAAUUUAGAAGAAACUUUUAACACUGAAUUUUAUGGUUAAAUAUGUAAAUCUCAAUUUGCAGAGAGGUAAGAUGGGCAUGUAGGCAUAAAAGUAUAUUAAGACAUAAUACUGUAGGGAAAGUAGAAUGGAAAGAUGAGAUCAAGGAGAAAGGGAAAUGGUGCACAAUUUCCAACGUUUGAAGAUUUUAUUCAUUUACUUUUUUAAAUGGAUGUGGUAUGUGAAAAAUGCUGAUGGAACUUAGACUAGAAUAGAUGUAUUUAAAAGUGAUAUAGUAGUUUUAUUUACAACUCAGUAUUUACAGUAUGCCGGAAAUUAUAUUCUUUGCAACCAUUUGAGAUUACAGUGUGAAAUUUUGAAUGUUAACUUUAAAAUGGUGAAGAGCCCUGGGUCAGGCCUAUUGUGGGGACAAGGGUGAUGAGGAAGACAGGGUUAUUUAUUUUUUUCCUUGGUUAAAAUAUAUGGAAAGAUGAUAUAACUGGAUAUUUUUAAGCCUCUCAGCAAUAUUUUAAUAAAAAAAGAUAGUUGCCAAACUGUAAUAGGAUGUCCAAAAAUGCACUGUUUUCUAAGAUCACUUCCUCGUUGAGCCUUUAUGCCAUUCCUGACAUCUCCGUGUCUUCUGCCUUCUUCCUGCAUAACAGGAAUCUCUGUUAGAGGUGUUAUGUAGAUAUGCAGGCCGUUUGUGUUAUCAGUAGAUGUUAAUAGGUUUUGUUUUUCUAAACAAAAUCUUUUUAACAUUCUUUUGAAGUAUAGUUGACACACAAUGUUAUAUUAGUUUCAGGUGUACAACGUAGUGAUUCCACAAGCCCGUAUGUUACUCUACACAAGUUCACAAGUGUAGCUACCAUCACUUAAUGGGGUUUUAACUUAACCAGUUUGUUACACGCAGACAUGUCUUCAUGUUCUGCUAAUUUUCUUUUCUUUGUGUUUUUUUUUUGUUUUUGUUUUUUUUUUUUACUGGUGGUUUUAGUUCUCAAAGAGUCUAGAGAGAUUGGGAAUGCAUAAGGAAGUAGUUGAAGCCCUGAGAAAGGGUCUGGAUAUUCUGUGGUCUAAUUAUGGCUCUAUCGCUAACAAGCUGCUUAAAUUUACAGUUACUUUGUAGACAGUCAUGUUAAGGGGGAAUAUCCUUUUCUUGUUGCUUUUGUCAGAGCACAUUUGUGAACUUAUUAGAGAAAAUUGUUAAGACUUGACCACAAAAGCUUAUUUCUGUUGGUUCUAGGUCUCUAUGCUGGGUGCAUAGGAGAUCUAGAAGGGUAGAUCCACUCUGUCAUUUUUGGGUUGAUGGUUUUGGAAAGAUAUAACCAGAAAAUAGCAAACGGGUAAACUGAGGAUUGCAGUAAGGCAGAAAGUGUUAUAUUUUGUGAGCAGAUUAGGUAGUGGGGAAAACAGUAUCGAUAUUCUUGUUUUCUUAUAUUUGUUCUGAAUUCCAAUACUAGUGUUUCAGAAACUGUCAUAAUGUAAAAAUAUUAAAAAAAUACAACCCUUGUAAAAUUGGUCUCCAUUCAAACAUGUCUUCCUGCUUAGUGCUAGCUUCUAUACCACUCAUUUCCCAUUUGGUCGGUAGCCAGUGUCUUUGUGUUGGCUGUCGAAGAAGAAUUGACAAAGGGUGAUGUAUUUGAUGCUUCAAAAGAGGGUGGUUUAAAUGUCAAAACAUUAAGAGAUGUCCUUAUGCAAAUUACUAUGGCCCUUAAAUAUUUUUGCAAAAAUUUACCUGUGUGUAUCUCCCUCUAUAUCAUAUCAUACUACUAUUUGUCAAGAAUUAUGCUAAAAAUUCUCAACUCUUAACUCAUUCUUUGUUCCUACUGAGACUUACUUAGGACCUGGUUGGGAUUACAACAAUAUUUGUUAAAUAUAAAAAUGCUUAGUUUUAUAAGUUAGUUUUGUUUUUUAGGAUGUCAAGUCCCAGAUAAGUCUCUCUUUUUUUUUUUUUUUUUUUUUUUCCCCAUCUCUCUCUUACUCUUGUGGAUUUUAAGUGGCUUCCUUUGAGUAGCUGUUUUUUCAGGUACCAAUUUUCCCUCACAUAAGACACCACCCAGGCUUUGGAAGCUUAAUGGUGAAUCUGAAUCCCUCAGCCUCUGGCCAUGGGCAUCUUUGGCCAAAUAAUCUGUACAAGCUUUAAUUUCCUUCUCUGUAAAACGAGACUGAUGGUACCUUUCUCAGGAUGGUGUUGAGGUUUAUUAGCAGGCACGAAAGCACUUGGUGUGGGGCCUACACAAUAGCAAAUGCUAUGUGAUAGGACCAGAGGAUGUCAUUAAUUAUUUGCCAUCUUACUCUGGCAUCUCGGUUGCCUUGUACUUGGCAUUUGUCUCAGCUGAGAGGAGAAUUGCUUCUUAAAUGAUGGGAAACAAAUCAAGAAUGUGUAGUGAGGUGGGGCACCUGGGUGGCUCCGUUGGUGAAGCGUCCGACUUUGGUUCAGGUCAUGAUCUCGGUUCAGGUCAUGAUCUCGUGGUACAUGAGUUCAGGCCCCACGUUGGGCUCUGUGCUGACGGCUCAGAGCUUGGAGCCUGCUUCAGAUUCUGUGUCUCCCUCUCUCUCUGCCCCUCCCCCAUUCACGCUCUGUCUCUCUCUCUCAGAAAUAAAUAAACAUUAAAAAUAAUAAUAAAUAAAAGAACGGUUGCGAUGUAAGUAGGAGGGCAUGCUUGUGUUUUCAAAGUGAAGAUACAGUAGUUUGGUUUUUUUUAAAGUUUAUAAUCAAAAUAGCUAAUUUUUGAAUGCUUGCUUUAUGCUAGAUAUUCUUUAAAGCCCUCUACAAAUGCAACUGUGAGCUAGGUAGUAUUAAAAUGGGUACCAUCACUGUCCCCAUUUUAUAAUAGGAAAUCAAAGUGGGUAUUUACUCUGGUCCAGCUGGUAUGUGUAAUGCCUGUUAAAAUUUUUUUUUCGUAAGAAAAUUAAAGCCACCAUAAAGUACUGAAAUAACUAUUGUGGUUUUUUUAAGUUUAUUUAUUUUCAGAGAGAGCGAGUGCCAGCAGGGGAGGGGGAGAGAGAGAAGGAGAGAGAGAAUUAGAAGCAGGCUCUGUGAAAUGUCAGCAUGGAGCCUGAGGUGGGGCCCCAUCUCACGAACAGUGAGAUCAUGACCUGAGCUAAAAUCGAGUCAGCUGCCUAACUGACUGAGCCACUCAGGUGCCCCAUUAUUGUAUUUUUAAAAAUAGCUUUAUUUAGAUGCAAUUCACAGUUCAUACAGUCCCAUGUAGAUGCACCUGUUAAGGUGUACCGUUCGGUGGCUUUUGGCAUGCUAGCGGUUGUGCAGCCAUCACCCCAGUCUAAUUUUAGAACAUUUUCAUCACCCCAAAAAGAAACCUCACGCUCACUACCAGCCACUUCCCAUUACCUCCGCUCCAGUCCUUGGCAAGCACUACUCUAUUUUCUGUCUCUGUAGAUUCGCUUAUUCUGAACAUUUCAUACGAAUGGAAUCAUACAAUGUGCAGUCUUUUGACUGUUUCAUUUAGCUUAAUGUUUUUGAGGUUCACCCACAUUGUAGCAUAUAGCCUCAUUCCUUUGUAUUACCAAAUAAUAUGCCUUGUAUGGAUAUACUGAUUUUGUCUAUGUAUUCCUCAGUUGAUGUGCAUUUGGGAUGUUUCCAGUUCGGGGGCUAUGAUGAAUAAUGCUGCUAUGAACAUGGAUUGGUGUAUGGGUUUUGGUGUGGACAUGUGUUUUCAAUUCUCUUGGGUAUAUAUCUAAGGGUAUAAUUGCUGGUUCAUAUGUGACUCUAUGUGUCACAUUUUGAGGAACUGUCAAAACUCUUUGCCAAGUGUCUGUGCCAUUUUACAUUCCCAUCAGCAAGGUAGGAAAGGUUCCGAUUUCUCCACAUCCUCACCAGCAUUUAAUUACCUGACGUUUUGAUUAUAAUCAUGCUAGAUGUGAUGUGAAGUGAUAUCUUAUUGUGGUUUGGAUUUGCAUUUCUUUUUUUUUUAAAGUUUAUUUAUUUUGAGAGAGAGAAAAAGGGAGAGCACGUGCACAUGUGAUCAGGGGAGGGGCAGAGAGAGAGAAUCCCAGACAGGCUCCGUGCUGUCACUGCAGAGCUGGAUGCAGGGCUCGAUCUCACAAACCCUGAGAUCAUGACCUGAGCUGAAAUCAAGCGUUGGAUGCUUGACUGACUUGGCCGCCCAGGUGCCCCUGGAUUUGCAUUUCUUCAAUGACAAGUUGUGUUUGGCAUCUUUUCAUGUGCUUAGGGGCCAUUUGUGUAUUUUCUUUGGAGAAAUAUCUAUUCAAACCCUUUGCCCAUUUUUAAUUGGAUUAAUUGUAUCUUUAUUGUUUGGUUUGUACAGUUGACCCUUGAACAUCUUCGGUUUGAAAUGCAUAGGCCCACUUAUGCAUGGAUUUUUGUUUUCAAUAAAUGCAGUACAGUACUGUAAAUGUAUUUUCCUUAUGAUUUUCUUAGUAACAUUUUCCUCUCCCGAGUUUACCUUUUUGGUAAGAAUACAAUACUUAUAGCAUACAAAAUAUACAUUAGUCAACUGUUUAUGUUAUCAGUAAGGUCAACAGGAGUCUAUUAGUAAAGUUUUUGGGGAGUCAAAAAUUAUAUGUAGAUUUUCAUCUGCAUGGGAACAACCCCCACAUCGUUCAAGAGUCAGCCAUAUACUGUAAGGUUUUAAUGUAUCCUGCCAGAACUUUUUUCCAUUAAUAGGAUGUAUUAUUUUUACUAUAUAUUUUUAAGUGGGAUUGAGACAUACAGUUUUGUAAUUUUAUUUUUUUUCCUUUUUCUAGUUUUAUUGAGGAAUAAUUGACAUACACCACUGUAAAAGUUUAAGGUGGACAGAAUGAUGGUGUGACUUAUGAAUGUUGUGAUUACAGCAGUAGGUUUGGUUAGCAUCCAUCAUCUCCGUCAUCUCCUAUAGAUACAAUAAAAAUAGAAGAAAAUAAUUUUUUUUUCUUUGUGAUGAGAAUAACUUCUAGGAUUUACUCUUUUAACAACGUUCUUAUAUCUUAUACUGCAAUGUUGACUGUAGCCAUCACACUGUGUAUUACACAGUAGUUCUUUAUCUUAUUACUGGAAGUUUGUAUCUUUUAAACACCUCCUUCAGAUUCCUCCUCCCCGGUAACCACAAAUCUGAUCUCUUUUUCAAUGAGUUUUUUAGAUUCUACCUAUAAGUGAGAUCAUACAGUAUUUGUCUUUUCUCUGACUUAUUUUACAUAGCAUAAUGUAAAAUGCUCAGGGUCCACCUAUAUUGUUGCAAAUGGCAGGAUUUCCUUGUUUUUUUUUGUUUUUUUUUUGUUGUUGUUAUGGCUGAAUCACAUUCUAUUAGUGUAUAUGUGUGUGUCACACCUCUUUAUCCAUUUAUCCAUCAGUGGACACUUAGGUUGUUUUCAUGUCUUGGCUAUUGUAAGUAAUGCUACUAUGAACUUGGGGGCGGAGAUAUUUUUUUUGUGUUAGUGUAACUUGAUUUUAACCUUCCUAUAUUGUAACUGUCUUUUUGUGCCUGUGUUUAAUUAUAUCACUUGUAAUGACUGCUUUGUAGUUCAUUAUAUGAACAUUCCAUAAUUUAAAGUCUCAUACUUUAUAUAUAGAGUUUAUUUGAAAGGAAAAACAUCUACAUCUUUGAAUACUUGUGCAGUCAUUUCUUUAGGAUACUUUCCAUAUUAGAACCGAAAUUGCUGGGUCAAAACGUGGGCGGGUUUUAAAGCCUUUGAAAAAUAUUCCCUAAUUGUCCUCUGGAAACGCGGUUCCAGUUUAUACUCUCUUGCAAGUGUCUUAGGAUUGCUGGUUUCCCCACAACCUUCCCAAUACUAAGUAUCAGUAUUUUUGUUAAUAUUUAAUCUGAGGCCCCAGUUGGUAUUCUAUACUUCUUUAAAUUUGUAUUCAUUUAUUAAUGAAGUUGGUUGAAGUCUUUGUUUCCCACCAUUGUUCCUUGAGCCUGGAGAUUUCCUCUAUGCUUCUUCCAGAUGUCUCUCUGCCUGGGUACCCCUGAUCUGGGAAGGUUUUCCUAUCCCUUCCCCCACCUGCACAGACCUGAACACGUUCUCUCAUCCUCACUUCCCAAGGCCCUGGGAAGGAGCUGAGGAACAUGUUCACAUAGUUCCUCCCUCCCUUCCUUCCUUCCUUCCUUCCUUUCUCUUUUUUUAUACUUUCUUUUUAAUUUUUUUAAGUUAAUUUUUUUUGAGAGAGAGCGAGCACUGAGAGCAUGAGUGGGAAAGGAGCAGAGAGAGGGAGAGAGAGAAUCCCAAGCAAGCUGUCAGUGCAGAGCCUGAUGCGGGGCUCAAACCCAUCAACCCUGAGAUCAUGACCUGAGCCAAAACCAAGAGCCCCAUGCUCAACUGACUGAGCCACCCAGCUGCCCCUACGUUUUCAAAAGUAAAAUAUAUUAUGUAUUUUUUCUUCCCUUAGCACUACCCACCCCUGCCAAAUAAUUUUCAAAACCCCAUAAAAGCUGGAUCUCCCUGCCUGGGACAUGUAACGUGUUCAGAACAAAGUUGGGUUGAAUGGCAUGCAUGAAGUUUAGUGUUUACUAGCUUUUUGAGCAUUCGCAGAGGUACUUUUGUUCAUCUGAGGCUUGGUUCCUAGUAGACUCAUGAAAAAUAAGGUAGCAGUGAAAGAAAUACUAUCUGAACGUUUUUAACGGUUAAGAUUCAUUUUAUGGGCAGUAUUGUUUAUGCAAUCAUGUGUUCCCAAACCUUGUUAACCAGAAGUCAAAAAUCUAUUUUGGUACGUUCCUGAUUUCCUGUGAUAACCCAGUCAAAUUACUCAUUGCCUGUAUAACCUCUUUCUUAACUCACUCUGUUUUACAUCUCUUAAAGCCUUUAAACUGAGUAGGAAUCUUUUAGAACCCUAGUUUUUAGGUCUUGAAAAUUUGCCCCGCUUGAGUGAUGGGGCUUCAAGGUGACUUAAUUUUACUAGUUUUCCAUAUUUCCUAAACUGACAAUGAGUGUGUAUGUAAUAAUGGGGUGAGAAAAACCAAUAAACUGUUGAGUAAAACAUUUCUGACUUGCUGUUAGUGAGACCUGGGGCUUGGAACAUGGGGAUAAACACACAGGGCUUUCACUUGACUCCAGCUGGGUUCGUGUUUAGAAGUGAGGUCGAUCAACAGGUGUGUGAGUUCACACAGGCCCCCUGGCACGUGCUGUGCACUGUGAUGGAACACCAUAACUUCAAAAUGUCUCAUUUUCCCCGAGCACCUUUGGUUAGCUCUGUUGGAUCCUGCUGAGUAUUUCCAAAGACAGCGUUUUGGGUAUAAUAGAAAACUGUGGUAGCUAGGGGCCAGGCGGGAUGUCCAAGAGCUGAUCCAAAGAGAAAACAGAAUCAGAAGAAGCUGAGCCUAUUGUCGAAGUCUGUGAAAAUAGGAAGCAGACACAAUUAGCUGAGAAACUGUUAAUGGAAUAGAAAAGUUUGAAAACAUAAGGAAUAAAUUAGUUUUUGUCUCAGCAUGAGGUCAUUCUGGAGAGAAAACAUACGUAACAAAUGCGAUGUUGCAGGGUCAGGGUGUAGACUAGCGAGACUGUAGCAUGACGUGUGGAAAGGGGAAAUUGGGUAAAUUAUUGAGAAAUUCCUAAUAAUUAAAAUCAUAUGUGACAGUUUCAAAAAAUUAUCACAGGCUUUUUGGUAUAUGUUGGCAUAUGUUUACUAUGAAAAUCAGUAGCCUCACGUGGUGCUCAGACUCUGUUCUCAGUAUUCCUAGGAUAUAUCAGAGCCAGUUUGCAGCUUUUAGAUGGAAUCUGUGACUCCAGGGGACAUUACUUAGUGACAUGCUGAUUCGGGCCUCCUCCCUCUUGUCUGCUCCAUAGCAGGGUAGGCACCUGGAAAUCCUACUUGUUAAGGCCCUUACAGACCCUGAGAAACUUUAACCUGUGGUUUACUUGUUGUAGUUUAAACUUUUGAACACCUUUCUUACAUUUCCUGUGAUCAGUUUUUAGUCUCUAUGUGUAGAACUCUUCUCCCCGCCCUAAACUAACUCUAACGACAAAACACUUCAAGUCGUGCUGAAUUCUUUGCAUUUAAUUAUGAGUCCAUCUCACUCAAGAAUCCCAGCACGCCAGAUGCCUCUAUCCACCCAACUGAAACCAUUGUUCCCUAAACCCACUCAGUCCCUGGGGAAAGGAGAGGACGCUUCGAAGAGUUGGCCUUUCCUAAUCUCUCAUCGGUGCUUCUCAAACCCUCCUGACGGAGGGGAAUGAACUGCCCCAGGGAUCUAGGGCCUUCCCGCUGUCCCACCUCAAGUGGGACAAGUAUUUAAAGGGUAGUCAUCUGUUUUUCACAUGGCUGCAAACCACAUGCUCUAAACUGUUGCGUUUAUUUUAAUAUAAAAAAAUCUUCCUUUCAAGUCUUACGUACAACUGGCACCAAGAAAGAUGGACCGUGUACGUUCAAAGCCUCCAGAAACCCCAAAGCCCCAAAGGUAGCCCAGAUGAGGAAGUAGGCCUGGCUGUCCCAGCCCAUGAGUUCUCAUUGCAGGCUCCCACACACUGAACUUCUGACAAGACCUUCCCCUGAGCAAAUGACGGCUAUGUGUACCAUUCGCUGGGAAUUUACCUAUCGGGCUUUAACCCCGUCGUUUUGUUUUCACAUGCAUAAGUGUGUAAACUCCCUGUGAUCGAGGAAGGUCAAACUUCCCUAUUUGUCCACCACAUCUAAUCCUGUUUCUGACACAUGACAGACUCUCGGGACAGCAGGUUCUUUAGAAACCUUGAGUAAAAGAAAAAAAUGUGGAUGGAGCCAACAGGCCAUCUUCCUGGAGACUCACAGUGCAUUUCUGUCUUAGCGCCUGAUAAGCCCCUCAGUCCUGACAGGGAGAACAACAAUGUAUCCUACUGUAUAACAGGGCCAUUUUUCCUUUGUCCCUGCCAAAGGAAACGGGCCAAAUUAUAUGUGUACUAAAUUCACACAUCUGCUUUAAAAUUACAUUCGCCUGCCGUUCCCCUCCAAUGUAAACCCAAGUCAUAAAGUUUAAAAUCGCUCAUUCUCCAUAUUCUAAAUGAGUCAGACAGGUACAGAUACUCAAACACCUUCCAUAGCAAUUUAAAGUGUCUGAAGACUUUCAUCUUAGCUGCUCUCCCUCUAUGGCCUUCGUGUCACCUGAAGUUUGAGUAAAACUUCACAAUCUCUGUGGCAAGCAAGAAUACAAAGCGAGAGACCUAUUGACGUGGAUUCGAGUACAAAGUCUUCAACCUCAAAAAUAAGUAUGUGAUGCCACUAAAUCAUUUUCUGUCACAGCUUCUGUCACUUCAGCAACUUUCACUGAAAGCUUGGCCCCAAGCAAGCAACUCAAAAAGACAAUAUUUACACAUGGCAUCAGAAUAACUGCUGUCGAAAUCCCAGAGAACUUUCCCUACCGAUCCUCUAAGCAAAGAAUAAAAAGUGU